rnacentral:rRNA from 1 species
UACGGAGGAUCCGAGCGUUAUCCGGAUUUAUUGGGUUUAAAGGGUGCGUAGGCGGCCUGUUAAGUCAGAGGUGAAAGACGGUGGCUCAACCAUCGCAGUGCCUUUGAUACUGCCGGGCUAGAAUGAACUUGAGGUAGGCGGAAUGAGACAAGUAGCGGUGAAAUGCAUAGAUAUGUCUCAGAACACCAAUUGCGAAGGCAGCUUACUAAAGUUUGAUUGACGCUGAGGCACGAAAGCGUGGGGAUCAAACAGG